GCCUGGGUGGCUCAUUCAGUUGAGUAUCUGACUUUGGCUCAGGUUAUGAUCUCACAGUUCGUGGGUUCGAGUCCCAUGUCGGGCU
rnacentral:tRNA from 1 species